CCCUUAGAUGUUCUGGGCGGCCCGCGCACUACAAUGGCGCUUUCAGCGAGUUCCUAUGUUGAAUUUUCCUUGGUAUUCUUGGAAGCGGCGUCUUGACUUGGGAUAGAUCCUUGUAAUUGUUGGUUUUGAACGAGGAAUUCCUUGUAAUCGCGGUUGAUCAGCUCGCGUUGAAUACGUCCCUGCCCUUUGUACACACCGCCCGUCGCUCCUACCGAUGAAUCGUCCGUUGAAGUUCACAGAGUGGCGGUUCGUGGAGUUGCUCGCGAAGUGAAAUGGACCUCACGAUUUAGAGGAAGGAGAAGUCGUAACA
rnacentral:rRNA from 1 species